rnacentral:rRNA from 1 species
UGGAGAAGAGACAGAUGCAGCAACGCCGCGGGAUGGAGGAAGGCCUUCGGGUCGUAAAACUAGGGCCUAAAGGAAGAUAAUGACGGUACUUGAAGCGGAAGACCCGGCUAACUACGUGCCAGCAGCUGCGGUAAGACGUAGGGGGCUAGCGUUAUCCGGAUUUACUGGGCGUAAAGGGGGCGUAGGCGGUCUUUCAAGUCAGGAGUGAAAGGCUACGGCUCAACCGUAGUAAGCUCUUGAAACUGUGAGUCUUGAGUGCAGGAGAGGAGAGUGGAAUUCCUAGUGUAGCGGUGAAAUGCGUAGAUAUUAGGAGGAACACCAGUUGCGAAGGCGGCUCUCUGGACUGUAACUGACGCUGAGGCACGAAAGCGUGGGGAGCAAACAGGAUUAGAUACCCUGGUAGUCCACGCUGUAAACGAUGAGUACUAGGUGUCGGGGGUUACCCCC